UCAUCCAUCUAUCAUCUCGUUUACUUUUACGGUAAAUUUUUUUAUGUUAUCGGUUGUAUAUUGCAUUGGUCUUUGUUUUUUUAUUUUUUAUCUUUCGUCAGUGAUUUGACGAAAAUCGGAUAAGACAUAUACAACCGGUUGCAUGAAUUAUAUUAAUAUUAAUUAUAACAAAAUCAACUUAAUUUGCAAACUAAAUUAAACGCCAUAUGUCGAGAUCGAGGAAGUAUUCGAGCCAACAGGAUCCUCUCCGGAUUUAUUUGAUUUUCGAGAUCUUCAGGAUUCAACGAGGAUCCGGACUCGUAUUGGAGGAUGCAAGUCAACAGAAGUAUUACUUAUAAAUUCACUCGUCUGGGUCCAGAAUGUAGUAUAUAUGGGUGAGAGGAUUAGGACUGGGGAUAGGAUAACAAGAACCCAUAACCUCUUCGGAUCUAAAAAAAAUUGAGUCUAAGGAUUAAAUAAUUCGAACUGUUGAAAUUUGAUCUAACGAUUAUUAUGUAUAACUUUUAGAAAAGCCUCCUAUUUGUAGUCAUUUGAUCCUUAGGCUCAAUUUUUUUAGAUCCGGGGAAGAUUUGGGUUCGGAUAACAAUUUAUCAUGGACACAUGUUCUCUCUGUCACUUUUAUGGUCAAUUAUUUUUUUAUUUAACAUCAAAAAUAAAGAUUAAAUAGAUGCAAUUUAUGAUAUUGUAACCUUGUACUGUUUUCAACGAAAUUCUUGUUGAUGUUAUUGAUAUUUUGAUCUUAUAUUUUUUUA